rnacentral:sRNA from 2 species
GUAAAGAACAAGUGGCACGUUCCAGUGACUAUCUCGAUGGGCAAUUGACCUUUCGCGAACGUCUGCUGGUGCGUCAUCACUUGAUGUUCUGCCCCAACUGCCGACGGUUUAUCCGCCAGAUGCGCCUGCUGCAGGCGACGUUGCGGAUGCUGCCGCAGGAACCGGUGAAGGGUGUGGAUGCCUUGGCGCAGCGGCUGGCUGCCGAGCGGCUCAAGGAUCAGAAA